rnacentral:rRNA from 1 species
CAGCAGCCGCGGUAAUACGAAGGGGGCUAGCGUUGUUCGGAAUUACUGGGCGUAAAGCGCACGUAGGCGGAUAUUUAAGUCAGGGGUGAAAUCCCAGAGCUCAACUCUGGAACUGCCUUUGAUACUGGGUAUCUUGAGUAUGGAAGAGGUGAGUGGAAUUCCGAGUGUAGAGGUGAAAUUCGUAGAUAUUCGGAGGAACACCAGUGGCGAAGGCGGCUCACUGGUCCAUUACUGACGCUGAGGUGCGAAAGCGUGGGGAGCAAACAGGAUUAGAUACCCGCGUAGUCCCUGUCUCUUAUAC